UAAAAUCUCGACAAAUUGGCCCUACUUAGUAUUGAGUAGGUGUUUUGAAUUUAUUGGAAACGAAAGUAAACAUUUUUUUGACGGAAACAUUUUGGACUUAAACCUCAACAGACUGACACAGGAUGGCAGAAGCUAUAACACCAGACAUAUCAAUAGCAUUGUAUCGUUAUAUGUGUCAACACAUUGUAGGAUCAGAAGAUCAUGUUAAAAGAAUCAGAAUGAUGAAUGCUGUCAGGGACGAUAUAGCAAGUAGCAAGGACUUGACAAUUAUAACUAGUGGAAGCUUCGGGGAAGGACUCGAAAUGCGGGGCAGUGAUUAAGAUACAAUGUUUGUGUGUAAAUAUUUCGAAGUGUAUGAAAAUGUACAACCCAGCUUUCAACCGGAUAUAGCAUAUUAGUGAAUGGAAACAGACGAUGUCAAACCUGAGUUGACACAGUUGAGACUAGAAUAUAACAUGAAUCAACAUGCUUCAGAACUAUGUGCAGAACAUAAUGGUUAACACUAUUUUUCGAGUGGAUUGUGUAAUCCAAUAACUUUGACUGUUGGUUGUAUAACACAUGGACCUUGUAUAUCUGGCAAAGAUGGAACUUUUGACCUUGUGGUUUGCUUACAUUGUAAAACAUGGGUGUCUCCAGCAGUACAGUGGAUAACAAGAUUAAGUAACUCAUGGCCGAGUGAUGAUGCCAAACAAAGUAUUAUACAACACGAAAAACGUUUUGUACCUAUCGGAGUUAAGGGAUCACCAAAAGAGGAUAUAGAAUGGCGAAUAUAUUUUUCUGUUGGUGAAAAACUUCUAAUUAAUACUUUUACGCACACCCAAUUACUAUGCUAUGCUCUUUUAAAAAUUCUUUUGAAAGAUAUAAUAGCUAAUUACUCCAAAUGUAAAGAUUAACUCUGUUCUUAUUUCUUGAAAACAAUUAUAUUCUGGAUAUCUGAAGAACUGCCACACUCUAUAUGGAAACCUCAUAAUCUUAUACCUUGUUUGAUGCGAUGUUUUAGCAGGCUAGUUUAUUGUGUUGAACACUCAGUUUGUUUACAUUACUUCAUUCCAGAUAAUAACAUGUUCGAGAACAAAAUAGAGGGUCCUGUUCGUGAAAUAUUGUUAAAAAAACUUUAUUCAUUGUAUAGGUAUGGUUGGCGAUCCAUCUUAUUUUCAGAUCAAAUAUCUAACUUAGAUGUACCAAUAUGGAAUUUCCCAAUUGAACCACAUUCAUUAUAUAUUAAUGACGUUGAGAAAA